GACGGGUUAGUAACGCGUGGGAAUAUACCCGGUACUAAGGAAUAGCCUUUGGAAACGAAGAGUAAUACCUUAUACGCCCUUCGGGGGAAAGAUUUAUCGGUAUCGGAUUAGCCCGCGUAAGAUUAGAUAGUUGGUGGGGUAAUGGCCUACCAAGUCUACGAUCUUUAGCUGGUUUUAGAGGAUGAUCAGCAACACUGGGACUGAGACACGGCCCAGACUCCUACGGGAGGCAGCAGUGGGGAAUCUUAGACAAUGGGCGCAAGCCUGAUCUAGCCAUGCCGCGUGAGUGAAGAAGGCCUUAGGGUCGUAAAACUCUUUCGCCAGAGAUGAUAAUGACAGUAUCUGGUAAAGAAACCCCGGCUAACUCCGUGCCAGCAGCCGCGGUAAUACGGAGGGGGUUAGCGUUGUUCGGAAUUACUGGGCGUAAAGCGCACGUAGGCGGACUGGAAAGUUGGGGGUGAAAUCCCGGGGCUCAACCUCGGAACUGCCUCCAAAACUAUCAGUCUAGAGUUCGAGAGAGGUGAGUGGAAUUCCAAGUGUAGAGGUGAAAUUCGUAGAUAUUUGGAGGAACACCAGUGGCGAAGGCGGCUCACUGGCUCGAUACUGACGCUGAGGUGCGAAAGUGUGGGGAGCAAACAGGAUUAGAUACCCUGGUAGUCCACACCGUAAACGAUGAAUGCCAGUCGUCGGCAAGUAUACUUGUCGGUGACACACCUAACGGAUUAAGCAUUCCGCCUGGGGAGUACGGUCGCAAGAUUAAAACUCAAAGGAAUUGACGGGGGCCCCCCCAAGCGGUGGACCAUAUGGUUUAAUUGGAAAC
rnacentral:rRNA from 1 species